rnacentral:rRNA from 1 species
CUCAUAAGGCCAACAAUGGAUGCCUAGGCUUGUUUUGCCGAGGAAGGACGCAUAUGGCGGCGAUACGCGUCGGGUAGGAGCCAUACUCCUGUGAUCCGGCGGUUUCCGAAUGGGGAAACCCCUCCGAUUCGUCGGAGAGCCAGUUGUAAAGAUGACCGCAAGGUCGGAAUAGUGACUGGCAGGUAAGCACCUGAACUGAAACAUCUCAGUAAGGUGAGGAAAAGAAAUCAGUAGAGAUUCCGUAAGUAGCGGCGAGCGAAAGCGGAACAGCCUAAACCCCUCACCAUUUGGCGUAUAAAUGCAGGUUAUUCCGGUGAAGAGAAUUUCUGUUAUUUGUACAUCAAAUGGUGAGGGGGGUUGCGGGGCAGAAGUCGUGGGAUUGACGAGAGAUAGAAGAAUUGCCUGGAAUGGCAAGUCAUAGAGAGUGAAAACCUCGUAUUUAAAAUCUCAAGUCACCCUAUUCUGUUCCCAAGUACUACGGGAUACGCGAAAGCCCGUGGGAAUCUGGGUGGGCCACCAUCCAAGGCUAAAUACAAAACAAGACCGAUAGUGAACGAGUACCGCGAGGGAAAGGUGAAAAGCACCCCGGAAGGGGAAUGAAAUAGUACCUGAAAUUGUUGGCUAACAAACAGACGAAGUCCCUCACCUUUUUUAAGAAGAGGGUGGGAUUUAAAUUUAAAGAAGGCGAAGUCGUUUUGCUUUCUGGUGAAAACCAAUGCCUUUUUGUUGAAAAAGGUGAGGGAUGACGUCGUGCCUAUUGAAGAAUGAACCGGUGAGUUAUCGGCUACUGCAAGCUUAACCCCUCACCAUGCUCUUGAACAAAGUUACAUCUUAAAUUCGAGGAUAUGGUGAGGGGGGAGGCGCAGCGAAAGCGAGUCCUAAUUGGGCGACCUAGUAGUAUCCGGUAGACCCGAAACUGGGUGAGCUAAUCAUGAGCAGGGUGAACCCCGGAGAAAUCCGGGAGAAGGCCCGAACUCGUCAAGGUUACAAACUUGUGAGAUGACUUGUGAUUAGGGGUUAUAUGCCAAUCGAACCCAGAGAUAGCUGGUUCUCCCCGAAAUAUAUUUAGGUAUAGCCUUCGUUUUUAAUUUCCAGGGGUAGAGCACUGAAUGGAUUCGGUCCGCCUCGGCGGAUCGACUUCAAUCAAACUCCGAAUACUGGAAAUCCGAAGACGGAGAGUCAGAGAUAUACGGCUAAGCGCGUGUCUCGAGAGGAAAACAGUCCAGACUUCCAUCUAAGGUCUCUAAAUAAUAGUUAAGUGGUUAAGGAAAUCCGGAACUUAAAACACCCAGGAGGUUG